rnacentral:rRNA from 1 species
UACAGAGGGGGCAAGCGUUAUUCGGAAUUAUUGGGCGUAAAGGGCGCGUAGGCGGCCUGGCAAGUGGAAGGUGAAAUCCCUCGGCUUAACCGAGGAACUGCCCUCCAAACUGCUUGGCUUGAGUCCGGGAGAGGUGAGUGGAAUUCCCAGUGUAGCGGUGAAAUGCGUAGAUAUUGGGAGGAACACCCGUAGCGAAGGCGGCACUCUGGGCCGGAACUGACGCUGAGGAGCGAAAGCGUGGGGAGCAAACAGG